rfam:Rattus norvegicus chromosome 3, whole genome shotgun sequence.
GGGGAUUUAGCUCAGCGGUAGAGCACUUGCCUAGAGAGCAUAAGGCCCUGGGUUCGGUCCCCAGCUCCG